rnacentral:rRNA from 1 species
GUGGGGAAUUUUGCGCAAUGGGGGAAACCCUGACGCAGCAACGCCGCGUGAGUGAUGAAGGCCUUCGGGUCGUAAAGCUCUGUCAGAGGGGAAGAAAUGCAGGGGUGCUAAUAUCAUCUUUGCUUGACGGUACCCUCAAAGGAAGCACCGGCUAACUCCGUGCCAGCAGCCGCGGUAAUACGGAGGGUGCGAGCGUUGUUCGGAAUUAUUGGGCGUAAAGCGCGUGUAGGCGGUUUGGUAAGUCUGAUGUGAAAGCCCCGGGCUCAACCUGGGAAGUGCAUUGGAAACUGUCAGACGUGAAUACGGGAGAGGGUAGUGGAAUUCCUAGUGUAGGAGUGAAAUCCGUAGAUAUUAGGAGGAACACCGGUGGCGAAGGCGGCUACCUGGACCGAUAUUGACGCUGAGACGCGAAAGCGUGGGGAGCAAACAGGAUUAGAAACCCUUGUAGUCC